rnacentral:lncRNA from 1 species
AAGAUAAGGAUUAAAAAUACUGCCUGGAACAGAUGCAAAGUGAAAGUCGUACAGGAAUGGUUUAUGACACUCAGAGACCUGCUGCACCCAUGACCAAAACAUUUCCAGGUAUUUCCUCUAAACGUUCAUCAAGAUCAUGCGGAUGGUUGCAGAAAUCUGAAGCACUGCUGGAAAAGGGAGAGGACCAGAUGCUGGGAUCCACGCUCWCCCUGAGCAUGUCUCAGGAUUGAACAGCGACUGGAGGAUCAGGGAAGAGUUCUUUGGUGGAAGCUCAGUUAAGAGCAGACUGAGGUGAAUGAAGGUGUGGUAAUAAUUAUAUUGUCUUCUUAACUGAUGAUAUGUACUUGCUACAUGUCCCUUGGAUUCCCAGCCUGUCAGUCUUCCUGUUGUUUUCAGACAAUCAAAUUGCCUCGGUGACCAAAAU